AAGGAGGAACAAGUUGCCAUGGUCCCUAAAGUUCAAUUUCCAAAAGAACUAAAGGAUUUUAGACCGAUUAGUCUGUGUAAUGUGAUUUAUAAGAUUGUUUCAAAAUGCUUGGUUAACUGACUACGCCCUAUUUUGUCUGAACUUAUUUCGGAAAACCAGAGUGCAUUUAUUCCAGGGAGGCUCAUUACAGAUAAUUCUAUCAUAGCAUUUGAAUCCUUGGAUUUCAUCUAGGAGGUUGUAGCCAGUUCACCGGCUUUUUGUGCAUACAAACUAGACCUAUCAAAGGCCUAUGACCGGGUGGACUGGGUUUUUCUCGAGAAGGCUCUUAGUAAAUGGGGAUUCUCACAGCAGUGGAUUUCUUGGAUUAUGGCGUGUGUCACGCCAGUAAAAUAUUCGGUGAAGUUGAAUGGAAAAUUAUUGGAGCCCUUCAUCCCCUCCCGCGGACUCCGACAAGGUGAUCCCUUGUCUCCGUUUCUUUUCCUCUUUGUUGCUGAUGCUUUGUCUUUGUUGGUCAACAAGGCUAUUUCGGAGGAGGGGCUGGUAGGAGUGAAAGUAUGUCGGCGGGCACCUAUGAUCUCUCACAUGUUAUUCGCAGAUGAUUCAUUGUUGUUCUUUCACGCAUCUGAGUAGCAAGCAACUAUUGUAAAAUGUUUGUUGAGCACUUACGCACGACCUACAUGACAACACAUAAACCCUAAGUGUUCCGUCCUCUUCUCUAAUAAUUGCAAUGAGAUGGUGUCGGUGGAGGUUAAACAUAUUCUGGAGAUAACAAGUGAAGCUUUCGAACCCAAAUAUUUAGGGUUGCCGGUCCCGGAAGGGAGAAUGCAUAAGGGGAGGUUUGAAACUACUCAAGAAAGAUUAAAGAAGAGACUAAUUGAUUGGAGCGAGCAGUUUUUGUCCUCUGGUAAUAAGGAAAUAUUAAUUAAAUCAGUGGCACAAGCAAUCCCUACAUAUAUUAUGAGUGUUUUCCGCUUACCUGUAUCGGUUUGUGAUGAUCUUACUAAGUUGAUGAGGCAAUAUUGGUGGGGUGUGGAAAGAGGAAAAGGGAAGAUGGCUUAGCUAAUUUGGGAUAAACUGAGGCUGCCGAAGAGUAAGGGUGGCAUGGGAUUCAGGGACAUGCGUGCUUUUAACCAAGCAUUGCUUGCCAAGCAAGCUUGGAGACUGAUUGAGUUCCCUGAUAGUCUAUGUGCACACAUAUUAAAAGCUAAAUAUUAUCCUCAUGGCAGCAUCUUGGAUACAAUAUUUACUGGAAAUUCGUCCGCAGUUUGGAAGGGUAUUGCGCAUGGACUAUAG
rnacentral:rRNA from 1 species